rnacentral:rRNA from 1 species
UACCAGCACCCCGAGUGGUCGGGACGAUUAUUGGGCCUAAAGCAUCCGUAGCCGGUCUUGCAAGUCUUCCGUUAAAUCCACCUGCUUAACAGAUGGGCUGCGGAAGAUACUACAAGACUAGGAGGCGGGAGAGGCAAGCGGUACUCAGUGGGUAGGGGUAAAAUCCUCUGAUCCAUUGAAGACCACCAGUGGCGAAGGCGGCUUGCCAGAACGCGCUCGACGGUGAGGGAUGAAAGCUGGGGGAGCAAACCGGAUUAGAUACCCGGGUAGUCCCAGCUGUAAACGAUGCAGACUCGGUGAUGGGCCGGCUUCAUGCCGGCUCAGUGCCGCAGGGAAGCCGUUAAGUCUGCCGCCUGGGGAGUACGGUCGCAAGACUGAA